CUUCUCCCCUUCUCCAGUUUGUGACUCAGCUGUAAAAAACAGAGUACUGAGCAGCUGGCCGCUCCACCUACAUGACCUUGAGACUUGAACAGUGGAUAGAAUAAGAACAAACGUUAACAAAUCAGCCAGGAAGGGACACAGGAGGCCCUUACUACUCCGUCUAGAGGGUGAGCGAUCAGCGGUCGCCUGAGGGUUUCCAGAGAGGUGCCCUCCCCACUCCACAGCCUAGGUUUUGCUGCGGGGUGGGCUGUCUGCUCCACUCUUCGCUGACCAGAAGGACACUUCACGCUAAGUCCAACUUUCUGUUCUCGGUCAGCGGAGGAAUGGAGGAGACAGGAAUGGGAUGUACCUGAGCAGUGACCUCUCGGUCAUCCUUGGGUAGGAGCAAACCUAGGCCACCACCUUCUGAAGAACCCUUCUGCCGAAGGCAGCUUCAGAAGAAGCAAACUUACCCACCUUGUAGUGUUUGAUGAAGGUGGAUAGGUGAGCCCAGGUGGCAGUUUUGCAGAUUUCCUCCAGUGGGGCAUCCUUGUGGAGCGUCAUGGUGAUGGCAACCCCUUGAACUGAGUGUGCAAUGAUCCCUGGAGGGGGAGCUCUCCCUUUUGCUUGAUAGGCCUUAACCAAGCAAACCCUCACCCAGCAGCUGAUGGUGGACCUGGACACCUUUAAUCCCUGAGCCCCCUGUUUAAAGGAUAUGAACAAGGCCUCGGACCUCCUGAACAGUUCUGUACAGUCCAGGUAGGUCCGAAGUGCCCGCCUGACAUUGGGUUUGUGCCACUUCUUCUCCCUGUGAUGGACUGGAUUGGGCCAGAAAUUGGGUAAAGAGAUGUCCUGUUUCCUGUGGAAAGGGGAAUUGACCUUGGGAGAAAAAUGAGGUCAGGGCGAAGAACCACCUUGUUUGGGAGGAAAAUGCACAGCUCCUCCCGGAAGGAGAGGGCCCCCAGUUCCCCCACCCUCCUAGCUGAGGUGAUUGCCUCAAGAAAAACUGUCUUGAGCGCGAGAUCCUUGAUUGGUAUGGAACGUGCUGGUUCAAAUAGAUGUUGUGAGAGAGCUCUGAGGACUAACAAAAGAUCCCAUGAGGGAAACCUGCGUUGCACUGGAGGUGCCAGCAGGGUUCCCCUCAGAGAAAGGGUUUGACUCAAGAGUGAGUGGAAAUGGAAUGGCCCCCCACCAUCAGAAACACACUGCCUAGGGCCACUGCCUGUCUCUUGAGCAUGUUGGGGGCCAGCCCCUGGUCCAGAUCUUCUUGCAGGAAGUCGAGAAUGGUGUGGAUGUGACAUUCUGCAACAGGUAACUGUUUUCGUCUAUACCACCUGUUGAACGCCUUCCAGGUAAGGUCAUAAAUUCUCUGGGUGGAUUGUUUGUGAGAUGCCAGAAUGGUGGAAACAACCCUGUCCGACAGCCCCUCUUCACUUAGCCACUGCGGCUCAGCCUCCAGGCGUGAAGCUGGAGCCACUCUGGGUCUGGGUGAAGAUGGGUCCUUGUGAGAGGAGGUCUGGUCUGGUGGGAAGGCACCACGGUGGGCUGGAGCUGAGGUCCACUAGGUCAGAGAACCACUGUCUCUGUGGCCAGUGUGGAGCCACCAUCACCUGGGCCUGGAGAACUCGGAUUCCGCAGAGCAGUCUGGACAGUACAGGUAGAGGGGGGAAGGCGUAGAUAAGUCCCAGAGGCCAGGGUGCUGACAGGGCAUCUAUGUCCUGAGCGUGUGGAUCCCAGCCUUGUGCCAUGAACUGGUCCAGUUGGGCAUUCACCGAUGAGGUGAACAGGUCCAUGCAUGAAGGCCCCCACUGCCGAGUGAUCUCUAGGAACACAUCCCCACUGUCCCUGGUGGACUUGUUCCCGGCUCAGCCAAAUGGCUUGUGUGUUCAGGAUCCCCUGCACAUGUAUGGCUAAAAUGGAAGCCAAGUGUCUUUCCACCCACUGGAACAGCAGGUUGGUCUUCUCCUGAAGAGGAACUGAUUUUGUGUCCCCUUGUUUGCAGACAUGCGAUUUGGCUGUGACAUUGUUGGUGCAUACUAGCACACAAGUCUGAUAAAUAAGAGGUAGGAACUCCUGGAGUGCUAGUCGCAUCACUCUGAGCUCCAACCAGUUGAUUGACUGGCACCACUCUUGCACUGACCACUUCCCCUGCGCGAUAUUGGAGCAACAGGUUGCUCCUCAGCCAUACAGGUGGCACUCAAGAGACUUGCCAAGAAGUUGAUUACCCAAGUAAGGCAGAGCUGCAAGGCUGGCUUUGAAGUGAAGGUCCACUUCCCACGGCUUCAGCCAGAUAUUUCAUCUUACUACCACUCCAUAUCCAAGUGCUCAUGUGGAGUACUGUAAGCUGUCCAAGGAGGAAUCUGCUAGGAAUCCAGCUGUUCUUCCCAAUUUGUGCAGCCCCCUGUGAUGUCCCUGUAUGUAGAUAUUACUGUAAAUAUGGAGACCAUCGAGGAGUCGGAAGUUGAAUAUGAACGGAGCGGAGAACGAGACCUAGGAUUACAAACAAGCUUUACCACUUAAAAGAGCCUUGUUUAGGCACAAGAUCCGCAUACAGCUCACCUUCUUAAUCACUUUAUUGGAGCUAUUUAUGUUGGAAGAGAGGUCUACCGAAGGUCAGUUGAAAUUCAAGCCUUGGUGAAUUACUUUUUUUUACGUGCUAAUAACAAAGAAAAAUGGUGGUUAUAAGAGACUUCAUUUAAAUUCAAAUUGCAAGGAGCUUAAAAGAAACUUGGAUAUAGAAAGCAUGUAAUGGAUAAGGGGUUUUCAUCCUUGAAAACUGAAGACUUUCUGACUCAAAAAGAUUGUUUUUUCAUCUGAUAAAUCUGCCUUGCUGGGUUGGAUGGCAGAUAGUUACAAGCUACAAGCCUGAGCCAGAAGAACAAGAAAAAAAAAAGAAGUUGGGGAGGCUUGUCCCUUUAAAUUUUCUACAUCAUGAAUACAAGAAACACAGGCAAGAAUGCAGAAAAGGUUAUUGAAAGAAGGGGCUCCGCAGAUACGCUAGAGAGGUCAAGCCCUUCAGAUUUGGUACAGAAAAUGAUGGAGGAAAUGAGAUCUAUGAAAAGUGAUUUACAACAAAACAUGGUAAAAAUGAGUUUAGAUAUAAAAGAACAGAUGAAACAAGAUAUGGAUAAAAUGAAUACAGACUUAAGAAAACAAAUGAAACAGGAUAUGACUAUAAUUAUGAAAAAAGAAGUUAAUGAGAUCAAAGAAACAAUAGAACAACUGGUGGGGGAAGUAAAACAAGUUACUGAGAAAAUGGGGAUUUUAGAGAGCAAAACUGAAGUUUUAACUAGGGAAAUGGAAAAAGAUUUAGAUAAUGUGGCAUUGUUAGAACUCAGAGAAAAAGAACAUUGUUUGAGAUUGAGGGUGAUUCCUGAGGACUCGGAUGAACAUAUUAGAGAAAAAGUGGUCAAGAUUAUAGCAAACUUUUUGAAAUGGGAGGAAGAAAUGACUGAAUUGGAGAAAGAUAAAGUCUAUAGGAUAAACACACAAUAUGCCAGACUGAGAAGUGUUUCAAGAGAUGUGUUGGUGCACUUUGUCAGAAAAAGGACUAGAGAUAUUGUUCUACAGCAACACUUUACUGUUAAAAUGCAAGUGGAUGAUAAAGAAAUAAUUGUGCUCAAAGAAAUUCCCAUCAGGAUUUUGUGUAAGAGAAAAGACUAUAUGUUUUUGACAGAUAAACUCAAACAAAGUAAUAUCCAAUUUCGAUGGGACAAACUGGAAGGUGUUAUUUUUAUAUAUAAACACCAGUGGUUCAGAAUGAAUACUGUACAGAAAGCAAGAGAAUGUUUAGAAAGAUUUAAAGAUAGUAUGGAGAAACAACAAUGAAAAAUAUUGAGUAAGCAACGGGAAGGGACUUUCUACCAUGUGGUGGACAUGUAAACAAGCAAAAACGUUUUGGAGUCAAAUAUAUAAAUUAAUGCAGAGAAUUUUAAAGAUUAAUAUUCAAUUUAAACCAGAACUCUUCUUGUUGGGCUUGAUGGACAUACAAUUGGAAAGGAAUAAUGGAAGAGUGAUUCAAUAUAUGGUUACUGCAGCGAGAUUACUAUAUGUGCAAAGAUGGAAGGAUACAACAUUACCAACAAUUGAAGAAUGGCUACUAAAACUAAUGGACCUGGCAGAAAUAGAUAAGCUGACGUGUCUAUUGAGAGAAAAAACAAUAGUCACAUUUCUCAAGGAUUGGGAUUCUUUUUUGAUUUUUUUGUGAGACACAGAAAAUGAAUUGGUGAUAUUGGGAUUUGACGAUUAAUUAGAUUAUUUAAUUGAGAAAAAAGGAGAUUAUGUAAUUUAUCAGUGAACAAGGUAUCUCUAUAUGUAUCUGUUACAACUGAUCGAAGAUAGAUCGGAAGUCGUCUG